UACAGAGGUCCCAAGCGUUGUUCGGAUUCACUGGGCGUAAAGGGUGCGUAGGUGGCCAGGUAAGUUCGGUGUGAAAGCUCGGAGCUUAACUCCGAAAUGUCAUUGAAUACUAUCUGGCUGGAGGGUCGGAGGGGAGACUGGAAUUCUCGGUGUAGCAGUGAAAUGCGUAGAUAUCGAGAGGAACACCAGUGGCGAAGGCGGCUUGCCAGAACGCACUCGACGGUGAGGGAUGAAAGCUGGGGGAGCAAACCGG
rnacentral:rRNA from 1 species